UCCUAACGACGGUCACAAGCACCUCGGGCAGGAUACAAAAAACCCCCCGUGGAUUAUCAAGUAGUUGAAAUCAGCUGGGUACUAGUGAAUCUCGUGUUAGAGAUGCUGAAACCAGGGCAGUGCUCUGUGUAUGAGGAGAAAACCAGCAGAUGUGAGGUUCUUGACGCUAGCUCGGGUAACGUUCUCAAAGGCAAGGCAGGAAUGGCACUUCGGGAGGUGAUGGAAGGUGAGCAUGCGGCUUGCUGGGGUGCCACACUCUAAAAGCAGUUGCUAACAAUUCAGUGUCUGACGGCAAGGACAUAUUGAGAGGGGUUGUGCAAGCUUUUUGUCUUUGAUUGGAGUCUAAGUAAUAUUCCGUUAGUGCCUGCGUCGGCUGGUUGACUAACUUACUGACAGUGCGGCUUAUUCUCUUUGUAGAAAACAGAAAAUUUGGAGGGGGUACAGACUGUCCGAGGACCAAAGACUAGUGGUCAAAGUAACCUUAACAAAUAGAAGAAAGUUUGAAAAAAUGGAUUCAUGUAUUUGUGUAUGCUAAGUCCCCUUCUGGUAAGAAUAAUCAACUUAUAAAAUACGAGGAGAAUGACUGGCUAAACUCCAGGUCCACCUGAAAGGAUUUGAGCCUUAGAUCAUAUGCUGCACAUGGACCUGCAAAAUCAGGUGUUGCAAAAGAAGAAAAUUAUACAAGAUGUAUAAACAAAAUCUUGUGUGUCAAACAUGAUGUAAUAAUAUUUCUUUCCUCUCAGCACUGCUGUACUGCAAGCACAUGGGGGCAACACAUGGCAAGAAAAAACCCCACAAAAGUGGAUAAAUGGGAGAGAUUGGUUUACUAAGAAAUAGACAUUAGUCUACAGAAAAAAAAAAAACAACAGCGGAAAACCUGGAGAAACAGAAUACUCUGUUCUGUGUGGAUAGGUGGGGGAAGUAAGGGGCUUACAUUGCACUGAGGGAAGCUUUAACUUAAAGAGAAGGAAGGCUUUCCAGUUAUAAAGGUAGUUGAGCCAUGGCCUGGAUUGGUAAAGAGUCUGUAGACUGUCAGUUGCCAAGGUCCUCAGUUUAGUUACCCCAAAAUCCUGAGUGCCAAGGAAAAAGACUGUGGUCCCUUUCAGCCUUGGUGUCUAUGAAAAAUAUGUAUCUAAUGGGAGGAGUGUGAGCACUGUUGAACUCCGGAGGCCGUUCUAGCAGGGAUGCUCAGUUUCUGGCUUGCCUGCACAAUUUGCCAGCACUCUCAUUAGAUUUCUUGGAACUGAUACAAAUGUAUUAAACCUGGCAAAAAUAGUGACAUAUGCGUGGAAGGAUUUUUUUUAAAUUAAUGCUUUUUAUAGGUGAAAGGAACCUUUUUUCCUUAGAUCGCAUAUAAUUCAAGUUUUAUUGUUAGACAACACUUGUGUGCUGGGCUGCCAGUAUCACUGGUGGCAUAUUAAUGAAUGGUUUUAGUGCAAACAUUGAUUUUUCAGAGGGCAGAAUGAGAUUAUGCCAUGGGAAACAAUACUUGUUUAAUUUCAGAAAGAUCAAACGUAGAAAGUUAAAGUUUAGUCAUUGCGUUCUGGUACAGCAAAAAAGCCCUUUGUCGUAGUUCUGCAAGGUUUUGCAUAUUUAGUAGUGUUCAGCUGUCCUGCGUCGGUUCAGUCAGUUUUUUAUUGCUGUUAGAACAUUACAUUUGUUUCUCAUUGCUUGUCAGUGUUUUUUGGACUUUUUGGGGGAGGAGAUGUUAACACACACUGUUGUUCUUUUCUUUAGACAGAUCUGGCAUUUAAACAAAAGCAGAAGGAGGAGCAAAAGAAACUUGAGGAGAUGAAAGCCAAGGCUGCUGGAAAAGGGCCCCUCACUAGUGGUGGAAUAAAGAAGUCUGGCAAAAAGUAGUUUGAUCAAGCUGCAGGGUAAGAAGUGAUCGAGUUAACUCAAUGGAUCUGCAGACUUCAGAGAGUCACGAAAACUCACUAUUUGGGAAACAUUGUACAUUUUGUUUAGUCAGAAUAAAUCUUUUUUGUUAAGAUGUAAUAUUUCCUCUCUACCUGUAGAUUUUGUUUUAAAAAUGGCAUUACUGUUUUAUACUGGAAAUGAAACAUUUACUGAAGAGCACUCGUGAGCUUAUGUAGCCUGAGUGCAUCUGCUGGUUUGGUACUCAUUUGUGUGAAUAAAUUUCAACUUCUGCUCUCUGUUGACAAUGGGAGUCAGGCCCUGGGUUUUAAAAUCUGCAGAGUUUUAAUCUGGAGGCUCAGGUUUAGCUGUAGCUGUCCAAGAUGUGGCUAUGUCAGCAUACGCUGUCCUAAGAGCUAGAAAUUUUCUCUAAACAAAAGGUUGGGUUAUACUCACAUCGCCAGCAAAGUGGUUACCUUAGGGUCAACCACUAUCCAAAAUAACACUCCUUUUCAUAGUUGCUGUGGUGCUAUGCCCUAUAGUCCCAGUGGCUGCUGAACAUACGCUUGCCUUUGUCAUACAAAUAGCCACCUACACCUUGUUUUCCUUGAACAUACCAACAUCACAGCUCCUUUACACUCAGAGCAAUGCCUUGGGGGAGGGUGGGGAGAAGGGCACUAUGCUUACGGCAGUAGAACUUAAUUUUUGAAAUGAAUAGCAGUGACAGUACACCGGAUAUGGAAACUUCGUGGAAGAAAUACGAUGUUCCUGGCGCAGGAGUGAAGGGGGAAAGAAUUAA